rnacentral:rRNA from 1 species
UACGUAGGGGGCAAGCGUUGUCCGGAAUCAUUGGGCGUAAAGCGCGUGUAGGCGGCUGGCUAAGUCCGCUCUGAAAGCCCGGGGCUCAACCCCGGGAGGCGGGUGGAUACUGGUCAGCUCGAGUCCGGAAGAGGGGUGUGGAAUUCCUGGUGUAGCGGUGAAAUGCGCAGAUAUCAGGAGGAACACCAAUGGCGAAGGCAGCACUCUGGGACGGUACUGACGCUGAGACGCGAAAGCGUGGGGAGCAAACAGG